UUAUAGGAGUAUCUUUUUUUUUUUUGAAACCAUAGAAGUAGCAUUUUUAAAUCAUAUGUAGCUCAUACACAUACAUUAGCCACAAGGACAAUAUUUUGAAUCAUGCAGAUCUCCAUCAAAAGAAAAGCCUUUCACAUUUGUCAAAUUACUUUUCUUAUUCAAUUUAGGUUAUAUUUAAUAUAAGAUUAACAUGCUCAAGAUGAACGUUUAAA
rnacentral:misc_RNA from 1 species